ensembl:lncRNA
UUCUUCUAGAGGUGUCCAACAGCUCCUUUGUGCUCAACUUUACCUUCUCGAUGGGGAACGUCACCAUCUCUCCGAAUGAUCAGGUCAUGAAUGCCACUUACAGCCAGAUCCAGGACACCAUCAAUACUCUGAUGAACAGAAUGCUGAACAGUCAACCAGCAACUCCCGUCGUCUUUCCACGGGCAAAUUUCACCGUGACGGGUGACCAGGUGGAGGCCGUCGUGAGUUACGUCGUUCGAAAGGGCGACGUCAGCAACCCGAGCCCUUACCUCUCCGAGAUGCUGAGAAUCAGCGGUCUUGAUGUUACCACGACAGCAGCAACAGCAACAGCAGCCACAACCCUUCCGACCGCAGCAGGAACGACUGGGUCUCAGACCACGGGAUCAGCGCGUCUCGUCAUCCUCCUGACGUUUGAAAAUGCAAAUCCAUUGCUCAAUGAGAGUGGCGUGCUGAAUGCAACAAACACUUUCUUGGACUCGCGACUCACGGCCUCGAACAGCUCGCAGAGGCUCCAGAGUUACACUUAUAAAGGUGAGUUUGCCGACACUGUACGCCACUCCUCAUGUCCCCGAUUUCGCCUUUUCCUUGGCGGCCGGCUGCAAAACGUGUACGUGGGGCAGGAAAGCAGUUUUAUGCUAUUGCUAUUUUUUGCACAAGUCUCAGGCCCGGGAGUCAGCGUGUUUCAGCGCUCACCGGAAUCUGAUUAACUGAACGUCAUGGAAACGCAUUAACGAUGCCGGGCUCUCCCUCUCUCUUCCUCCUAGCACAGCUCCGGAAAGUACGGUGUUAGCCGUGCACCUUGCACCCAGAACAGGUGUUCCACCUGUACUGCUUCAAGUAGCGUAAAGCAAGGCUCAACAUUGUAUUUCCGCUGUUCUUCUAGAGGUGUCCAACAGCUCCUUUGUGCUCAACUUUACCUUCUCGAUGGGGAACGUCACCAUCUCUCCGAAUGAUCAGGUCAUGAAUGCCACUUACAGCCAGAUCCAGGACACCAUCAAUACUCUGGUGAGGUCGCCAGUCAUCGCAGAGGACAUAGGAGCCGCGCACAUGUUCACACUCCGUCUUGGCGCUACAGCGAAUGUAGCAGCAGCUAUACUUUUGCUAUUCCCUGAAUAUGGCAAGGCAGUAGUUUUCACGCGUUUGCGUAGCUCUCGUAGGCUUCUAAGGCCGAUUCUUGCCUAACCCGUCAUCUCGUUUUCUCUCUCGUUGGAUGUUCAAACCCCAGAUGAACAGAAUGCUGAACAGUCAACCAGCAACUCCCGUCGUCUUUCCACGGGCAAAUUUCACGUAAGUCACGUUCUCCCGGUGGCAAGCUAAAUGCGAAGUGGCAAAAAUG